GAGUAUUAGGCAAAUCCGGUACUCGUUAAGGCUGAGCUGUGAUGGGGAGAAGACAUUGUGUCUUCGAGUCGUUGAUUUCACACUGCCGAGAAAAGCCUCUAGAUAGAAAAUAGGUGCCCGUACCGCAAACCGACACAGGUAGUCAAGAUGAGAAUUCUAAGGUGAGCGAGCGAACUCUCGUUAAGGAACUCGGCAAAAUGACCCCGUAACUUCGGGAGAAGGGGUGCUCUUUAGGGUUAACGCCCAGAAGAGCCGCAGUGAAUAGGCCCAAGCGACUGUUUAUCAAAAACACAGGUCUCUGCUAAACCGUAAGGUGAUGUAUAGGGGCUGACGCCUGCCCGGUGCUGGAAGGUUAAGAGGAGUGGUUAGCUUCUGCGAAGCUACGAAUCGAAGCCCCAGUAAACGGCGGCCGUAACUAUAACGGUCCUAAGGUAGCGAAAUUCCUUGUCGGGUAAGUUCCGACCCGCACGAAAGGCGUAACGAUUUGGGCACUGUCUCAACGAGAGACUCGGUGAAAUCAUAGUACCUGUGAAGAUGCAGGUUACCCGCGACAGGACGGAAAGACCCCGUGGAGCUUUACUGUAGCCUGAUAUUGAAAUUCGGCACAGCUUGUACAGGAUAGGUA
rnacentral:rRNA from 1 species